GGAAAAGAAACCAACCGGGAUUGCCUUAGUAACGGCGAGUGAAGCGGCAAAAGCUCAAAUUUGAAAUCUGGCGUCUUCGACGUCCGAGUUGUAAUUUGAAGAAGGCAACUUUGUAGCUGGUCCUUGUCUAUGUUCCUUGGAACAGGACGUCAUAGAGGGUGAGAAUCCCGUGUGGCGAGGAUCCCAGUUAUUUGUAAAGUGCUUUCGACGAGUCGAGUUGUUUGGGAAUGCAGCUCUAAGUGGGUGGUAAAUUCCAUCUAAAGCUAAAUAUUGGCGAGAGACCGAUAGCGAACAAGUACAGUGAUGGAAAGAUGAAAAGAACUUUGAAAAGAGAGUGAAAAAGUACGUGAAAUUGUUGAAAGGGAAGGGCAUUUGAUCAGACAUGGCGUUUGCUUCGGCUUUCGCUGGGCCAGCAUCAGUUUUAGCGGUUGGAUAAAUCCUCGGGAAUGUGGCUCUGCUUCGGUAGAGUGUUAUAGCCCGUGGGAAUACAGCCAGCUGGGACUGAGGAUUGCGACUUUUGUCAAGGAUGCUGGCGUAAUGGUUAAAUGCCGCCCGUC
rnacentral:rRNA from 1 species